UACAGAGGGUGCGAGCGUUAAUCGGAAUUACUGGGCGUAAAGGGCGCGUAGGCGGUCCGACAAGUCAGGGGUGAAAUCCUGCAGCUUAACUGCAGAAGUGCCUUUGAUACUGUCGGUCUUGAGGGAGAUAGGGGUGUGCGGAACUCACAGUGGAGCGGUGAAAUGCGUUGAUAUUGUGAGGAACGCCGGAGGCGAAAGCGGCGCACUGGAUCUCUUCUGACGCUGAGGCGCGAAAGCUAGGGGAGCAAACGGG
rnacentral:rRNA from 1 species